rnacentral:rRNA from 1 species
AGAGUUUGAUCCUGGCUCAGGAUGAACGCUGGCGGUAUGCCUAACACAUGCAAGUCGAACGAAUCCUUUCGGGGAUGAGUGGCGGACGGGUGAGUAACGCGUGAGAAUCUGCCUUUUGGUCGGGGACAACCACUGGAAACGGUGGCUAAUACCGGAUGUGCCUUUAGGGGUGAAAGAUUAAUUGCCAGAAGAGGAGCUCGCGUCUGAUUAGCUAGUUGGUGAGGUAAAGGCUCACCAAGGCAGCGAUCAGUAGCUGGUCUGAGAGGAUGACCAGCCACACUGGGACUGAGACACGGCCCAGACUCCUACGGGAGGCAGCAGUGGGGAAUUUUCCGCAAUGGGCGAAAGCCUGACGGAGCAAUACCGCGUGAGGGAGGAAGGCUCUUGGGUUGUAAACCUCUUUUAUCAGGGAAGAACCAAAUGACGGUACCUGAAGAAUCAGCAUCGGCUAACUCCGUGCCAGCAGCCGCGGUAAUACGGAGGAUGCAAGCGUUAUCCGGAAUUAUUGGGCGUAAAGCGUCCGCAGGUGGCUCAUCAAGUCUGCUGUCAAAGGCAGGGGCUUAACCCCUGAAAGGCAGUGGAAACUGGAGAGCUAGAGUGCAGUAGGGGUAGAGGGAAUUCCCGGUGUAGCGGUGAAAUGCGUAGAGAUCGGGAAGAACAUCGGUGGCGAAAGCGCUCUGCUGGACUGCAACUGACACUAAAGGACGAAAGCUAGGGGAGCGAAUGGGAUUAGAUACCCUAGUAGUCC